GAGGGGCUCAGUGUCACCGAGAGGCACUGGGUGCAAAUGAACUACAGCGAGGGUACCACCCCCGAACAGCUGGCACAAGCGCUUCCACCGCGGAGAGGGCCCUUCUGCUUUCUCCGCGAGAGAGGGCUUAGCGCAGCCAGAGAGCGCACCCAGCGCCCCGGGAUGAACCCGCGGCAAGCGAGCGGGGAGGGCAGCGGGGCGCUGGCGGCUCCCGUGAGGCGGGGCGGGCCGCGCAGGUACCCGGGCCCCUCCCCGCGGAGGGGGCGGCGGCCGCGCGGCUCCUAACGCGGCCUGACAGCCACCGCCGCCCCCCCGCGCUGACAUCACCGGCCGGGAUUUAAAUAGCUCCGCAGCCGCUGCCUCCCGGAUACAGCGCGCCCCAUUGGCCGCCGCCGCGGCCAAUGGCCGCGCCGCGCCCCUGCGCUCCGCCAAUGGCGGGGCCGCGGCCGGCGCGCGCCUCCCCUGUCGCUAAGGGAGGGAAAUACAGCGCGCGCGGCGGGCUGUCAGCGCUCCGGCGGCGGCGUCUCCCGGGCGGUGAAACGCAGGACGAGCGGCCCCGCCGUGCUGUUUCCUCCUCGGGGAGAGCUUGAAACGAGAGGGAAAGAGAGAGAGAGCGAGAGGGGAGAGCGAUCGGUGGUGACUCGGGGGCUGGCCGGGCCGCCGCUGGGGCUCGGCGGCCGCAGACGGUGGAUUUGUGGGAAGAGGACGGGAUGAGAAAUAAACGCGCCCGGCCAGCGGUGUUUAGGGGAGCGGGGGCCGGGUGCCGGAGCGCCCGGACUCCGGACGCGGAGCCGCCGAGCUGCAAUGGACGCUGCCCGCCGCUGGCCGCAGAGCGGAGCACAGCCGCCGCCGCCGAGGAGCGAGAGCUGCCCGCCCGGAGCCGGCCCGCAGCCCGGAGCGGGAGCGGGAGCUUGCCCUUCGGCGUCGCUCCGGUGAGCGCGGGCCGGGCCGCCCGGAUGGGCUGCGAGGCACGAGCGACUAGAACUCCUUGGAUGUGUCAGAAGUGAGCGCCGAGAGGAUUUUGUGGUCUUUGUGGGAGGAAGGCACAAGCCACCCAAGCCCCGUUCCCUCCAUCUUGAGCCUUCUGUGGUGAUUUGCAGCAGCAGCACAGGGAAGUAUGAAGCACUGAGGGGCAGAAGUCAGUGUUUAAACCUGGCUUCACUUCAGCAUUAACGACCACGCAAGUUUCACAUAACAGCAGGACCAGAAUAGCAGAAGUACUUAAGGUGCCUCAUUUAAAAGUUCUCUUCUGCAUAUCUAAAGAUUAGGCAGCUGUUCAGAAAAGAUGAUUAUACAAGUGUUUUUAUUUACUGUCCUAACAGAAGAUGAUGAUCCGCAUUACCUUACAUGCAUCUUGGAUGCAUCUGUAUCACCAUAUAGAUUUCAGGGGACCUGUAUUGAUUUAAGUUAGUAGAGAAACCCAGUGAAGUUUUAAAUAAUCGGAAUAAUAUUCUCCCUCUCUUUCAGUCAGAUUUGCCCUUCAUGUUACUUGUGUUUCAUAAUCCUCCUAGCUCUCCAUUUCGUCAUUACAAGACCAGCAUCUCUACUGUAAAAAAAAAAAAAAAAAAAAUAGAGAGAGGAUCGAUCACCCCCCCCC